UCCUUGAUGGUCUGGUGGUUAGGACUCCACGCUUCCAAUGCAGUGGGCACAGGUUCAAUCCCUGGUCAGGGAA
rnacentral:tRNA from 1 species